rnacentral:rRNA from 1 species
AUUGAACGCUGGCGGCAGGCCUAACACAUGCAAGUCGAGCGGAGCGGCGGACGGGUGAGUGAGGCCUAGGUAUCUGCCUGGUCGUGAGGGCGGGCGUCAGGAAACGGGCGCUAAUACCGCAUCCUAUCAGAUGCGCCUAGGUCGGAUUAGCUAGUUGGUGGGGUAGAGGCCUACCAAGGCGACGAUCCGUAACUGGGCUGAGAGGAUGAUCAGCCACCCUGGAACUGAGACACGGUCCAGACUCCUACGGGAGGCAGCAGUGGGGAAUAUUGGACAAUGGGCGAAAGCCUGAUCCAGCCAUGCCGCGUGUGUGAAGAAGGUCUUCGGAUUGUAAAGUACUUUAAGUUGGGAGGCGUUACCGACAGAAGAAGCACCGGCUAACUCCGUGCCAGCAGCCGCGGUAAUAC